rnacentral:rRNA from 1 species
UACGGAGGAUGCGAGCGUUAUCCGGAUUUAUUGGGUUUAAAGGGUGCGUAGGCGGGUUAUCAAGUCAGCGGUAAAAUCGUGGAGCUCAACUCCAUCCAGCCGUUGAAACUGAUGAUCUUGAGUGGGCGAGAAGUAUGCGGAAUGCGUGGUGUAGCGGUGAAAUGCAUAGAUAUCACGCAGAACUCCGAUUGCGAAGGCAGCAUACCGGCGCCCUACUGACGCUGAGGCACGAAAGUGUGGGGAGCAAACAGG